rnacentral:lncRNA from 1 species
AAGAGAUGGAAAUCAAUAUUCCAAUUAAUAACAAGCCAAUAACCAAAACACCUUCCUUGCCAAUGUUCACAAAUGUCACUAUAAGAAAAAUCUAAACAUGUUUAAAAAUUAAGUUAAACAUUAAAGUUCAUAAAAUGAUGAGAGUAAUGUAAGCAGGUUUCUCUCUUUUUUUUUCUUUAGAAAAUGUAAUGUGAGUCGUAAGAUAUCAAGUUCAUUGUAAGCAGCAUAUAUAUAUAGCAUUUGUUCACCCUAAAGUAGGAAAUUUCUAACCUGACAUGCUGACAACAAGCAUUUCAUGAGAUAAUAUGAAGGGGAGCAAACUGAAUUAGCAUAUGAAAAAAAAGAAUAUAAGAUGGCUCCCUCUUUUUUGUCCUAACUCCAAUGUGAGCAUAGUUUGUAUACUUUGUCCAAAGGAAGAUAAAACUUGGCUCUCUAAAGCGCUAUACUUUUCAUCUAACAUAACCAUAGAUGCAUGUUAAGCAAUGAUGUUUGUUGCGCAUCUUGGUAUGGAUGGCUCGCAUUCACAACCAAUGAAAAAUGGUAUUCUUGUCUUGUUGAAAUUUUCUUAUUCAGAAAAGGCUAGCUGUUCAUGAUUUUUCACUCUAAUGGCUAUGUGCGCGUACACCCAUCAUACUUACGUAGCUGAACACCUCACUUUAUUUUUAUCUAAGUCAACAACCAACGUUCUUCAUUUAGUUGUCGAACCUCGCUUGUCAAAUAAUGUGGGGCCAUGAAAGUUAUGUGAUGUAGCACAAAACUCGCCUAUAGCAUUAUUUGAUGAAGGAAACAACUUUUGGCUAGUAAAUCCAUUAUAAAUACAGUAGCCUGCAUUGCUUGUUGAUCUAAAGGGCAGACAAGUUAGCAAAUUAUGUCAGUUUAGCUGGACAAUUGACUAGUUGAACCACGUCUCAUUCUCGACAUCACUUUGUCCACAGAAAAACAUAAAAAAUGAAGCAAAUUAAUAUGCUGCACUCUUUGAUCAAAAUCAACUACCUUUCAAACUUACCAGUCACCAGUUGGCCAAGUAUAGAUAUAUGAUUUCCAACUAAAGUUGUUGGGUGAAUAAAUGAUUUGGGAACCACUACUUGAUGUCUCUCUCUUUAGGCUUAAUCAUGUAUUCACGUGCUAUGUGUAUUGUAUGAGGCACGGCCCAAGUCUUCGGUAUAAAUACUAAAGAUCUACCCAAAGAGCAUAGCUCGUACGAAUCAUGACUUAAGUUCCAAUAUCUUCGCUAGGCCAAGGAUCCAAAUCUAUUCAAAUCUAAUUACAAACACCACGAUCAGCUUAUAGUUAGUCCAAAAGAUCUAAGUUGCAGUUUUUUCUAAUCUACAUGGAUUAUAGAUCGGAUCCGCUCUGAUAUUACUUUUUAAACCUUAAGAUCACACCUUAAAAAAUGAACAAAGAAGGUAUUAUUUAAGUUUUUUGGUCUUGUGUAAGUGCUUAAGAUUUACCCAGUGUAUAGUUGAUAUAGAACUAAAUAGAUACCUGCAUAAGUCCUCAUAAGUAGCCCAUCCGUUGUGGCCUGAGGUUAGUUUAAUUCGCAAAUACUCGAAUGGGUUAUCUUGGGCCAUGUAGCUCUUUCCUCCUUGCGAGUGUACAACCGCGCAUCAUUUUAGUGCGAGAUGAGUCGGAUGACCAUGAACUACUUCCUCACCAGCCGUCGAUGCCAGUUUGGCUGGGUCCCAAAAAAAAUAUAUUUUUUAGAUAUUAUUUUCUUUGAGGUCUGAAGUCAUGGUAGGUCCAUCCAUGGUUCAGAAUUAUUCCCUCAUCACAUCAAUGAUUUCUACCACGCCCCAGCAUCCGGUCAGACCAAACCAAACAGUCUCGAACUCCAUCUACUAGUGUAAGAUGUCCCCACAACAAAGAGUAAUUGGCGCUUGGCAUAUUCUUAAGAUUUGGACAGGUUCUUGACCUUCCCAAAUGAUAACUAGUCAUCAACCGCCUUUCUCUUCCCUUUGAUUCCCCUCCAAUGGACAGUGUUCUUCCUUUUAUGUAAUUUAUUCAGCCCAAUCAACCCUUAUUUGACGUAAAUACACCUGAAAAUGAGAGAGAUCAUUCCAUAUAUAGUGUACCAUAAUUUGAUUAAGCCUGCAGUCCCAAUUCAUAAAACCAUUCAUUUCACACAUCUCAACACUGGCUUUAUUGAUCCCUUCUAAAUACCAUCCCGGAUGAUGCCAAUGGACUUUUAAGUGGCAAAACGGCCUUUAUGCUGUGAUUUUUUAAGCAAAUAAUCCUCUGGGACAAGGAUUUUUGGCAUGACUAAGCCACCUUUCGCUAGCCUCGGCCAGAAGACUUCAGAUGAAUUCUGGUUGGGAGCAAGACAGGGUUAGAAGCAGAGAGGCAAAUGUCUCCUCUUUCUGUCCGCUCUUCCCACUUAAUCCAUUGAUCGCCUUUCUGAAUUGACUGACUUACUGACUUCGGAGCUGCCCUUUUAAUUGAGUUAUUCUUUGACUAUAUUUACAUCUAACACAAAAAGCAUUUAUAGUCUAGCUUAGAAAUCCAAAUUCAUCUAUUUUCUACUAAUUGCCUUAUUCACAAACUACUCCCGCAAUAUGACGCCCAAAAUUACUUGAAAAUGCUAGAACACCCCAUCAA